rnacentral:rRNA from 1 species
CCUACGGGAGGCAGCAGUGAGGAAAAUUGGUCAAUGGACGAGAGUCUGAACCAACCAAGUAGCGUGAAGGAUGACUGCCCUAUGGGUUGUAAACUUCUUUUAUAUGGGAAUAAAAUGUUCCACGUGUGGGAUUUUGUAUGUACCAUAUGAAUAAGGAUCGGCUAACUCCGUGCCAGCAGCCGCGGUAAUACGGAGGAUCCGAGCGUUAUCCGGAUUUAUUGGGUUUAAAGGGAGCGUAGGUGGAUUGUUAAGUCAGUUGUGAAAGUUUGCGGCUCAACCGUAAAAGUGCAGUUGAAGCUGGCAGUCUUGAGUACAGUAGAGGUGGGCGGAAUUCGUGGUGUAGCGGUGAAAUGCUUAGAUAUCACGAAGAACUCCGAGUGCGAAGGCAGUUCACUGGACUGCAACGGACACUGAGGCUCGAAAGUGUGGGUAUCAAACAGGAUUAGAUACCCGGGUAGUC